AGGGCACAGAAAUGAAUGAAAAGAACAUUGGUUCAGCUGUUAAGCAUAGGGAUGGAUCCAUCAUGCUUUGGGGUUAUAUUGCAGCCAGUGGCACAGGGAACAUUUCACAGGAGAAUGGAUUCAAUUGAAUUCCAACAAAUUCUGGAGGCAAACAUAACCCCAUCUGU